rnacentral:rRNA from 1 species
AAGGGGGCGAGCGUUGGUCGGAAUCACUGGGCGUAAAGGGCGCGUAGGCGGCCCUUCUUGUCGCGUGUGAAAGCCCCGGGCUCAACCUGGGAAUGGCGCGCGAGACGGGGGGGCUGGAGUUCGGGAGAGGAGCGUGGAAUUCCCAGUGUAGAGGUGAAAUUCGUAGAUAUUGGGAAGAACACCGGUGGCGAAGGCGGCGCUCUGGACCGAGACUGACGCUGAGGCGCGAAAGCGUGGGGAGCAAACAGG